rnacentral:rRNA from 1 species
AAGCGGAGGAAAAGAAACCAACUGGGAUUGCCUUAGUAACGGCGAGUGAAGCGGCAAAAGCUCAAAUUUGAAAUCCCUAGGGAGUUGUAAUUUGUAGGCUGGGAGCAGGCAGUACCGAAAAGAAAAAGUCCCUUGGAACAGGGCGCCUUGGAGGGUGAGAGCCCCGUAUUUCUGGACCGGUUCUGUUUUUCCCACGCCAAAGAGUCGAGUUGUUUGGGAAUGCAGCUCAAAGUGGGUGGUAAAUUCCAUCUAAAGCUAAAUAUUGGCGAGAGACCGAUAGCGAACAAGUACCGUGAGGGAAAGAUGAAAAGCACUUUGAAAAGAGAGUGAAACAGUACGUGAAAUUGUUGAAAGGGAAGGGCUUGCAAGCAGACACUUUUUUGGGCCAGCAUCAGUUGAAGGGGAUGGAGAAACAGCGAGGAAUGUAGCUUUCGAGUAUUAUAUCCUUGCUUCAUACAUCCUCCUUCGUCUGAGGCCUGCUUUUAUUAUAGGAUGCUGGCGUAAUGGUUGCAAGCCGCCCGUCUUGAA